AGUACGGCGCCGCCGCCACCACCACGCGCGGAUGCGCGGCCGGUCUUCUUCCCAGGCCGUUUGCCGCCCUCCUUCCCCUCUCCAUCUGCCCCAAUCUUCUCCGGUGCCACCCUGAGCCUCCUCGGUCUCCAACCUCCUGCAAUAUUCAAGCCCGCCGGCACCCAAUCCGAGCAACCAGCGGUCGAUUCGAGUGACCCCCGCUAGGAAUCCAUGGGAUUUGAGGUAGAGGAUUUCCUGGGAGAGCGAGUAGGAAGGAUGAUGGUGGGGUUCAUGGGGAAGAUGAAGAAGCAGAAGGUGAUCCACGACCCUCACGCGACGCCAAGCCGCCACGCGCCUCCUCCCCUGCCGCUCCGCCUCCAUGCCGGGACAACGUACUGGGCCUUGCCGGACGCCGAGGACCAACGGUUCAAUGCCGCCGCCCACUCCGGCCUCCACCACACCAGCCCGAACCGCUACUCGCGGGCGCGCGGGGAUGGAGAACCGCGACGGGCACGCGGGGGCGGGUCUGGGCAGCGACCCGUCCGGGCUCCCCCCACCCCCACCGCCGCCCUUGGACACCGCGGGGCGGGUCUGGGCAGCGACCCGUCCGGGCUCCCCCCACCCCCACCGCCGCCCUUGGACGCCGCGGGGCGGGUCUGGGCAGCGACCCGGCCGAGGUUCUCCCACCGCCACUCCCGCUAUCUCCCGGGGGGCGCCCCGUACGACGGGGCGCAGGCAGCCAACGGAUCCGCGUACCCGGCCGAGCACGCCUCGCUGAACGGGACCUCUGGCGAGGCGGCGGGGGCCAUGGAGAACGGCGCCGCCGCCGCCGAGAUGGCCGAGCCCAUGGUCCCCGAGCAGUUGUACGAGGAUGCUGUGGCUUCAGUGGAAUAGGCUAGGUUAUGGGAUGCUGUCACCGUGGAUUGCUUAGACUUUGAUGCUUGGACCGCACUUAUUGAAGAGACGGAGAGGAUUGCUGAGAGCAAGAUAUUGAAAAUGUGGAAAGUGUAUGAUGCAUUCCUUGCGGAGUUCCCUCUGUGCUUUGGCUAUUGGAAGAAAUAUGCAGAUCAUGAAGGCUGUCUAGAUGGUGUCAAUAAAGUUUUUGAGGUGUAUGAACGGGCAGUUUUUGCAGUUACUUAUUCAGUGGACAUAUGGUGUAAUUAUUGUCAGUUUGCGAUUUCAACAUACAAUGACCCAGAUGUCAUCAGAAGACUGUUUGAUCGGGUUUUGGCAUAUGUUGGAACAGAUUAUGGUUCCGAAACAUUGUGGGAUGAGUAGUACAUCAAGUAUGAAGAAUCACUUUCAAGCAUGGAGUCAUCUAGCUGUGGUAUACACAAGAAUAUUAGAGCACCCUAUACAACGGCUUGAUUGGUACUUUAAUUGGCGAGUCAUUGACAUUAUUUAUGUAUUUAAGUAUUUAAGUAUGUUUUCUUGUCAGUUGCCACUUCUAUUUAUAUUAUGACUUAUCUACUACGUCGUCCUAAAAUAGUACAGUGUGCAGGCAUCCCAAAAUUUCGCUCCCGAUGAAUCAUUUAUUCCACUGAAAAAACGCUCGCUCUAAACAACAUCACCAUGAAAUUAUUUGAUCUGGCCCGUGUUGUGUCGGCUCUGAUUCAGUUGCAAUUGAGUUUGUGUUGUUAUCGCGGAUUAAUAUUGUUCUCACUUAUGCUGACUAGAUUAGCUAAAUUAUGAUCAAUGACUAGCUAUUUAUGCUAACUGCCUGCUUACUUUGGGGAGUGUGGAUGACUGUCAUUUUCUAUGUGCUUACUCUGCUUAUUAUCUGCAUGUAUAAUGUUGUUUGCACGAGCAUGAUUUUCUAUGCUGUGAUAAUAAGAGAGUAAAUUGUAGGUGCCUUGCACGAUGGUUGGUCAUACAUUGAUGGAGAUGAUUGUCUAAUCAGGGUGUUGUGAAUGUGAUUUCUCUGAAUGCAAUCCUUUUGCCAAUAGGCGAUGUUUUAGGAAAAGAUCAGAGUGCACAGUUGAACUGUUUACGUGGAAACAACCAUUUGGGAAUACAUAGAGUGGUUUUUAUUAGUAGAAGCAAGGUAAAAAAAAGAUAGAGGGGAAUAUGGGGCCAAUAACUUGUUUUCUAAAAAAAAAUAGUCACUGUUCUUUUUUAGCUCUCAUCAGUUAUUCACACAUUUACAAGAAUUUGUUUACAUAGGGACCCAGACUUGGAUUGGUGACAAGCUUCGCUCACACAUUUACUUGGAGUUUGUACAAUACACACAACUUGGAUCGAUUGAACCAGCCAAUAGCUGGAAACCAUAAUUAGAAUCAGGGCAUUUCUAUUAAGGUCUAUAGAUCACAGUUAACUACAGGGAGGUAAACUGUAGUGAUAUUUCACAUGCUACGCUUGCAUCAACAAAACAUUCAUGUGUAUUGAUUGCAUUUUCCACUGUAUUUCUGAUGGAGCAGGAAACAAAUGAGACAUUCCCAUUCACAACUGUUUAUGGGAACCCAGACUUUUCGGACCAAUCAAUAAGUACCAAUUAUGCAAAACAUGUGAAACAACCAGUCGCAAUCACGAACGAGCAGCAAAAUUUGCACUGAACUACUGGCAUAAGGCAGUGAAAUACUUUUUGCUCACGUGAGUGGAAGUUUGGAACAUAAGAAGAGCAAAUAACAAAGUGUAUGCACUGCACGUAUGCUACUACUUAGAUCCUUAUUGCUUGUCUUGCAAUGAAGUACAGGUCCUUCCAUAUAGGACUCACAAACUAACUAAAGAUCAAGUAUUUCGACUAGGAGCUUAUUACUUAUCUUUGCAAUUUUAUUAUCUCAGAAGCAUAAAGGUAAAAUGGGAUAAAUCGCUUUCUUUUAAAUGGGCUCCGUUCUGAAUCUGCAUUAGCAUAUCAAGGCCAUAGACCAUAGAUAUGGAUAAUUGACAGAAUGAGGAUGGGGCAUUCCGUGGUCCAACAUCUCUUCUACCAUCAGGGCUGAUGACAUUCUUUGGCAAUGCUAAGCCGCUUGAUAAAUCAUGGCAUGAGAUGGGCCUUGAGUAUAAUCCAAGCAUCAGCCCUUGGUGAUCUGUGGUGAUGCAGUGCUGCACCUUAAUGGAAAUAUGAACCAUGGCUUGAUGUUCCUUUCAACCUGUACAAAGCUAUGUGGAGGAAGUAUGUAGAGAUUGAAAUGGAAUUCCUUUUUUUUUUGUGAAGUAUUGAAAUGGAAUUCAUGACACUAUGUAACUUUGCUUUCUCAAGUACUCCCUCCGUUCCGAAUUACUUGUCGCACGUACGGAUUUAUCUAAUGUAUUUUAGUUCUAGGUACAUCCAUUUUAGCGACGAGUAAUUUGGAACGGAGGGAGUAAUUGAAGAAAUGCUCCAAGAAUAAGGCCACCAUCAAUAUGUUUGUUCUUUUAUGGUAAAAAGAGUCUGCACGUGAAUUAUCACUUUUUA